UACAGAGGUCUCAAGCGUUGUUCGGAUUCAUUGGGCGUAAAGGGGUGCGCAGGUGGGCGCGGCAAGUCGGAUGUGAAAUCCCGGGGCUCAACCCCGGAACUGCAUUCGAUACUGCCGUGCUAGAGUGCCGGAGAGGAGAUUGGAAUUUACGGUGUAGCAGUGAAAUGCGUAGAGAUCCGGAAGAACACCGGUGGCGAAGGCGGCCUGCUGGGCAGUAGCUGACACUGAGGCGCGACAGCGUGGGGAGCAAACAGG
rnacentral:rRNA from 1 species